ACCCGAAUGUCGUCGGAGGAUGACCACUUGUGCAGGAAGGAGCCCGGUGCCCGAGGAGUCGAGAAGAUGUUGGUUUCAUCGUGGGACAGACGGCGGGACAGAGGGACCUGGGAAGAGGAUGGCUCCAGUUUGUUCUGGUCCUGGAACGACAGGUGGCAGGACCAGGUGCCACUGUCCUGGAGCCUCAGCUUGGGCAUGGAGCAAGUCUUGCCGGUUUCUAUGAUUUUAUUUUCUGGACUCUUCCAUUGCACGGAGGGGCUCCCCACAGAGGGGCCUUCCAAGAUGUAAGUCCCCGAGUCGUCCAUCCUGAGAUCCUUGAUGACCAGGGGGAAAGAUCCUUGGUCCCACAUGUUUUUUUUGGAUUCAACGCGAUUGCUCAGCGGGGAGUUUCCUGGGAACAGAAGCCACGUGCAGGAGAUGGAGGCACCCUGGCAGGGGUGGAACCCACAGGUGCUCUGACCUGAGCUGACGAUUUCGUGCAGAACUGGGGAACCCCCGACUGGCCAGGAGAUCCCACAACGUCCACUUACCCGGCUGGGACGGUGGGUCACUCAUCCGGAAUGGUGAAAUCAUGGCCUUAUUUGGAGAGCACCAGCUUCUACAAGCCCAUCCCUGACACCCAUAGUCUCCAAUGACCUUCGCAACAGUUCCCGGAAAUAGAUGCCCGUUCUGCUCAUUUUGCUGAUAACGAUUCUCACACAUUAUUGGUAAGAAUGAACACCAAUGUAAUUUGUUUGGAAGGUAAUUUAUAGUAUCUAUCAGAAUUACAAAUGUGCUUACAAAGCUAAAUGUCCACAAAGGAUAGGUUAUAUAAAUUAUAGUUCACCCAUUGGGCAAUUGCUAGGCAGCCAUGCAAGAGGCAUGAGCAAUCUUUCUAUACAGGGAUCUGGAACAGUAUCUCAGAAACACCCUUCACUGAAUAAAGCAAGAUGUGAAACAGGCUACUAUUCAUUGUAAAAGGAGUAGGAAACUACCCCCAUAAGCACACACAUGCAUUUGGUUGGUUCCCUAUACCAACAAGUUCUACACCCACUGAUUCAACCAGCUGUGGAUCAAAACUACUUGAUAAAGGGGAAUGGAUAUUUGGCCUAGUGGUUUAAAAGUACACAUCCCGGGGCCGGUGCUGUGGCAUAGAGGGUAAAGCUGCCGCCUGCAGUGCCAGCAUCCCAUAUGGGUGCUGGUUUGAGUCCUGGCUGCUCCACUUCCAAUCCAGCUCUCUGCUAUGGCCUGGGAAAUCAGUAGAAGAUGGCCCAAAUCCUUGGGCCCCUGCACCCACGUAGGAGACCCAGAAGAAGCUCCUGGCUCCUGGCUUUGGAUCAGUGCUGCUCCAGCCAUUGUGGCCAAUUGGAGAGUGAACCAGCAGAUGAAAGACCUCUCUCUCUCCUCUCUCUCUCUCUCUCUCUCUCUCUCUGCUUCUACAACUCUCUGUGUAACUCGGACUUUCAAAUAAAUACAUAAAUCUUAAAAAGAAGAAGAAGAAGAAGAAGAAGAAGAAGAACAUGUCCCACAUCAGACUGCCUGAGUUCAAGUUCAAGCUCCUCCUCCAAUUCCAGCUUCCUACUAAUGCCUACUUUGGAAGGCAGCAGGUGACAGCUCCAGGAGUUGGGUCCCUGUCACCUCAUGGGAGAGCUGGAUAGAGUUCCUGGCUCCUAGCUUCAGUCUGGCCCAGCCCUGGCUAUUGCAAGCAUUUGGGGAGUAAACCAGCACAUGGGAGAUCUCUCUGUCUCUCUGCCUUUCACAUAAAUAAAAGCUUAAAAAAGAAAAAAUAUUUUGGAAAGUUAACAUAAGGAAAUUAAACUUUGGUUGUCCUGGAAGAGGAGUGAGGCCCAAGAAAUAGGCGUGGGAGGAAGGCUUUUCAAUUUUACUUCUUUUGAAAUUUGGCUCCAAUAAGUGGUGGAACAUGGAUUAAUUCAGGCCUCUUGGGUACACUGCACAACACCAUCUCUAGAACACUCCUCUGGCAGGGUAUGCGGUCCCCUCUACUCUUUUUUUUUUUUUUAAAUUUUAACUUUUAUUUCAAAGGCAGACAGAAGGAGAGAGAAGUCUUCCAUCCACUGGUUCAUUUCUGAAUGUUCACAACAGCCAAAGAUGGACCAGGCUUAAGACAGAAGCCAAAACUCAAUCCAGGUCUACCACAUAAGGCAGACCCAUGUACCUGAGUCAUCACCUGCUGUCACCCAAAGUACUUUAGCAGGAAACUGGAAUUGGAAGCAGAGCAGAGACUUGAACCCAGGCACUCUGAUAUGGGACACAGGUGUCCCAAGCAGCAUCUUUUUAUUUAUUUAUUUAUUUAUUUAUUUUUGACAGGCAGAGUGGACAGUGAGAGAGAGAGACAGAGAGACAGAGAGAAAGGUCUUCCUUUGCCGUUGGUUCACCCUCCAAUGGCCGCCGCGGCUGGUGCGCUGCGGCCGGCGCACCGCGCUGAUCCGAUGGCAGGAGCCAGGAGCCAGGUGCUUUUCCUGGUCUCCCAUGGGGUGCAGGGCCCAAGCACCUGGGCCAUCCUCCACUGCACUCCCUGGCCACAGCAGAGGGCUGGCCUGGAAGAGGGGCAACCGGGACAGAAUCCGGCGCCCCGACCGGGACUAGAACCCGGUGUGCC